CAAGAAAGAGGCGCGCGGCGAUCCGCGCGCUCGGCGGAGGGCCCGGGGGCCCGGCCUGAGCUCGGCGGGAGCUUUCGCAGACCCCCUCCCGGGGGUGCAGGGGAAGAGAGCGCUGUCAUGGGGACUCCCGACUCUCACCCCUGGUCACGCGCCCAGGGCUGCCCUCUCCCGCUCGGGAGUCGCCCUGAGUCCUGGCCACCUUCCUGCCUCCGCCUGGGUCUCAUCCUUAGAGACGCACUUGCAGGCCUUUGGACCGUCCUCCCCGCCAGCGCUGAUCUUUGUCAGAGUAGUAAUUGGAGGUUUGCGCGAGAGGUUCCGUUUCCUUUGAAUGGAGAUGAAAGCGACUCACGUGAAGGAUACAACUUGCAGAACCCUUGUACCACGUGAACUCCAGUCUUCACAACUUAGCAUUACCCACGGCUACAGAAAAGAGUGAAGCUUAUCUGGAAAGAAAAUUCUGGCAAAGACGACGGGAGAGCCCCUGUGCCGUCUCUGGAGUGGAGUACAGGAAGCCCCACCCCAGGCCUGCCUUUCAGAAGUGGCCCAGAGAGGGAACCACAAGGAGGCCCUAAAAUGAUGCCUUUUGGAAAUUCUGACUCAUUUGGCAGCGGGGGUUAUUUAUGCCACGUUCAAAAGGUUUCCCGAGGAGUGAAAUAUUGACUGUUCUUCCGCCAUGUCUCUCCCCUGUGGCCAGCGUCUCCACCGCUGCGCACCCAGAAGCAGGGGCCAGUUUCAAAAGCCUGGAGAGGUUAUUCAGUUUUGUUUCAAAUUUGUCUC